UCCGCUAAAUUUAGCGGGGAAAUUUUUCCGCUAGAUUUAAAAUUUUUCUGCUAGAUUUAGCGGGGAAAUUUUUCCGCUAAAUUUAGCGG
rnacentral:pre_miRNA from 1 species